rnacentral:rRNA from 1 species
GUGGGGAAUUUUGCGCAAUGGGCGAAAGCCUGACGCAGCAACGCCGCGUGGGUGAUGAAGGCCUUCGGGUCGUAAAGCCCUGUCAUGCGGAACGAAGUGCAUUUUCUUUAACAAAGGAAAUGCUUGACGGUACCGCAGGAGGAAGCCCCGGCCAACUCCGUGCCAGCAGCCGCGGUAAUACGGGGGGGGCAAGCGUUAUUCGGAAUUACUGGGCGUAAAGCGCGUGUAGGCGGCCUGGCAGGUCAGGUGUGAAAUCCCUUGGCUUAACCAAGGAACUGCGCUUGAAACCAUCAGGCUUGAGUGCGGGAGAGGAAAGUGGAAUUCCCAGUGUAGCGGUGAAAUGCGUAGAUAUUGGGAGGAACACCGGUGGCGAAGGCGGCUUUCUGGACCGCUACUGACGCUGAGACGCGAAAGCUAGGGGAGCAAACGGGAUUAGAAACCCCAGUAGUCC